GUGAUGGGGGCCUAGCAAAUAUCAGACACCUAGAAAUAAGUUCACAGUAUAUUAAAGUGGCGAUAUGCGCAGAUCAGGAAGACAAGAAUCCACAUUUCUGACAUUGUUUAACUUGACACUGGAUGAUCUAGAACCUAAAGCGAACAUGUGCACUCAAGUUCUAGUUUGGCACACAAGAACAGAGAAGAGUAAAACUCCAUAUG
rnacentral:sRNA from 1 species